rnacentral:rRNA from 1 species
CGCGGCCUAUCAGCUUGUUGGUGAGGUAACGGCUCACCAAGGCAUCGACGGGUAGCUGGUCUGAGAGGAUGAUCAGCCACACUGGGACUGAGACACGGCCCAGACUCCUACGGGAGGCAGCAGUGGGGAAUAUUGCACAAUGGGCGCAAGCCUGAUGCAGCGAUGCCGCGUGCGGGAUGAAGGCCCUAGGGUUGUAAACCGCUUUCAGUAGGGAAGAAAAUGACGGUACCUACAGAAGAAGGUGCGGCCAACUACGCGCCAGCAGCCGCGGUGACACGUAGGCACCAAGCGUUGUCCGGAUUUAUUGGGCGUAAAGAGCUCGUAGGCGGUUCAGCUAGUCGGGUGUGAAAACUCUGGGCUCAACCCAGAGACGCCACCCGAUACUGCUGUGACUAGAGUACGGUAGGGGAGUGGGGAAUUCCUGGUGUAGCGGUGAAAUGCGCAGAUAUCAGGAGGAACACCAGUGGCGAAGGCGCCACUCUGGGCCGUAACUGACGCUGAGGAGCGAAAGCAUGGGUAGCAAACAGGAUUAGAUACCCUGGUAGUCCAUGCCGUAAACGUUGGGCACUAGGUGUGGGUCUCAACUAACGAGAUCCGCGCCGUCGCUAACGCAUUAAGUGCCCCGCCUGGGGAGUACGG